rnacentral:misc_RNA from 1 species
AGGUGAAUAUUUUUGCUUUAUGUUGCCUACAUCUGUAAUUCGUAGUUCUCUUUGCUAUCCAUUAUUUUUUCCCCUUUUUUGAUACAUUGAAAAGUAAUUGCUAUCCAUUGUUGGAAUAUCUUUUUGCUAUGAUGAUUUAUCACGUGAGCGAUCAUAAGAGACUGUUAUAAAGCAUCAUUUAUUCUAUUUCUUCCCCAUGCAUGGUCAAUCUCAAGCACAUGGAGAACUGUUUUCUUUUAUUGGCUGGAAAGAAAAUGGGAAAAGAACCAUUUGAGGAAACAUUCUUUAAGAACAAAAAAAUAGAAAGGUUCUCAAGAUAUUUUCAUUCUAGAACAAUUCAGCUGCACAAGUUAACCAAAACAAAGUACUCAUCACAACCAUAAUUGUAUUAUUAAAGAGAAGCAUAUUCGUCUUACAAAAGGUGCAAACAUAAAAUCAUCCAGCCAUGUGUGGCUAACUAGUUUUUACAUAACUAUGAGAUGAUACCACAAUCUGCAAAGCACCUAUGUAUUGUGAUGACAUUAUACAUAGCAUAUAUGUAAGAAGAUGACAGUAAUACAAUAGUAGCAAAUUGUUUCAACUACAGUGGGAGCUGCUUCAAGAAAUGAGAUCGAAUCCCUGUGUUAGUAGAUCACCAGACAAGACACUAUUAGCAGCUUCAGAAGGAUGAAAUCCAUCCCAAAACACGUAUUGUGUAGCAUUUGAGCAUGUUCCCAAAGACCUUGCAUUGCAGAGAACUGAUGUCUCUAAAGUACCUGUUCCACAGCAAGCCUUUCUCGACUCAAAGAACCCAUUAUCAGUGGGCUUCAAGAUCAUAUCCAAGAGGGGCUCAUAGAUAUCAAAGACCACAAGUUUGAGGCCGGGUAGAUUGUUUGCCAGGCUUUUGGAAGUGCUGUUUAAUUUCUCGUUGAAGGCAACGGCAUCACGGUUUAACCUCUCAACACACUGAUUGCUUCCUGCACCAAAGAGGGUAAUAGCUGCAGGCAAACACCCGGUUGGUGGUAGGCUUGUCACUCCAAUCCUUCUUGCUCCCAGUCCGUAGAGAUUCUGAAUGAAAGUUGAGUAAAAUCGCAUGAGUCUAUUGGAGAAGAGAUCAGCUGAGUAGACUCCAUUAAGAAGGGGAUUGAUAUAGUAAUUCUGAAUAAAAUCACUGCUUCCAGCACUCAACAGAUGGAUACCACCAGAUAAUAUCUCAUCUGCCUUGGCGUUUCCUACCAAGUUCACUACUUUUGUUUGGUAUUCCUUGUAGUACUUCAACUGCUGGGUCAAUGGAAUGGCACCAUAUAGCCUGGCAGUGCCAUCAUAGAGACCAGAAGCAGCUGAGGCAAAGUUAACACCAGUCAAGAGGUUGUUUCCUCUGGCAUCUUGGCUAAGGUAAGCUGGUGGGUAUGAAGUGAAUCCAAGGUACUCAGCAGUGAAGUCUGUAGCUAGUUUUCCAUUGCAGAAUCUUCCAGUUGGCCUAUGAUUAACAAAGUCUCUUCCAUAAGGAGGAAAAUUUGCCUUAAUAACUGUAUUAAGAUUAUUAUUGUUACCCACAUCAACAACAGAAUCCCCAAAGAUGAUGAGGGCUGGAACAAUAGGAUCUGCAUGAGCUACUGAGGAUACCAAAACAAGAAGGGAAAGGGAAGUUCCCCAAAGACUUCUGCUUGCAAACCCCAUUUCUCCUUUUUUUUUGCCCUUUCCCACUAAGCCUCUGGCUAGUGCUGAGAGAGAGAGAUAGAGAGAAGAGGAAGCAGGUGGGGUAAGAAUUUAAGAAGGAUGAGAAGUGAUACAACAGUAUCAAAAGCUGCUUAUUUCCUGGGAAUGAGGCGUGUUUAGCACCUCACAACACCCAUGAUUUUGUUGUCCUCUAAUUUAAUCUGUACUUAUUACGCUAACCAAAAGUGUCAACUUAUUUGGUCUUGUUCAUAUGUAAGUUUGAGGAGGUGACGAUGGACUUAGCUAAAACUUACAGCAGCAGAGAGGCAAAAGUUUUGUACCUUUCUAAUUCCAUAUCACAUAAUACAUGAUGCUCCACAACCACCUGAUUAGCCAUUGCUUAAAAAGAAAACCCAAUUAGCCAUUUUCUUCUUCCUUGUUGUAAAAGACAUAAAAC